rnacentral:rRNA from 1 species
GUGGUUUAAUUCGAAGCAAACGCGAAGAACCUUACCAGGUCUUGACAUCCCGAUGCUAUUUCUAGAGAUAGAAAGUUACUUCGGUACAUCGGUGACAGGUGGUGCAUGGUUGUCGUCAGCUCGUGUCGUGAGAUGUUGGGUUAAGUCCCGCAACGAGCGCAACCCCUAUUGUUAGUUGCCAUCAUUCAGUUUGGGCACUCUAGCCAGACUGCCGGUGAUAAAUCGGAGGAAGGUGGGGACGACGUCAAAUCAUCAUGCCCUUUAUGUCCUGGGCUACACACGUACUACAAUGGCCGUUACAACGGGAAGCGAAGGAGCAAUCCGGAGCAAAUCCCUUAAAGGCGGUCCCAGUUCAGAUUGUGGGCUGAAACUCGCCCACAUGAAGGCGGAAUUGCUAGUAAUUGCAGAUCAGCAUGCUGCAGUGAAUACGUUCCCGGGCCUU